CUGAUGUAUUACUGUGGCUCUUUGGCAAUGUACAUUGGUAAAUUCUGGUGCCUUCUCAGGCUCAGGGUCGCCACCCCCGGGCCAGAGCCAUGUGAUG